AAUGGACAAGGUUUCCCCGUGAAUGUGAAUAUCCAAGUAAGUGAGGACAAUCACUGCCCAACAUGGUCCCAGUAUCUAUGAAUGGAAGGCAGGCAGCUGGUUUCUGACAGCCUUGAGAAUAGAACUAUAACAUUGCCCACAGUUUCUCACUAGAAAGUGCAGUGGGCCAAUCCGAGAACAGAAGCUGAAACCAGGAGGGGUUCUACAAGUUCCCAUUUUCAGGUUAGUGUUAUAGCAAUACAAUAAGAUGUGAUGAUUGUGCUAGAGCAGUCUGGGCCCUGUCCUGUGUAGCUCUUAAAAGUAAUGAGACAGCAUUAAUUGUUUGCCUCCCAUACUCACCCCUGGGGAUCUAGCACUGAGGAAAAAACUAGAAUUAGUACCCAAAUUGGACAGGAUAAGUACAAUAGGACAAAGGGAAGAGAAAGUCUAGGUAAAUAUUGGGAAGGAAGACCAAUACAGACCACAUAACCUGUAAAUCACUUUGUAAAAAUGAAAAGGGAGUGUUAGGACCAUGGAUCUCAGAAAAGUCGUCACCCUCCCUCCUAAAAGUUCAGGAAAACAAUUUGUUUUCCUAAUUGAGCAGCUGAAAAGGAUUACAGUCAAAUCCCAUUCAGAGUUAUAAGAAAUAAGAAGCAGACCAACAUCACCAUAAUGAAAGCACACCAGAAAGACAUCACCACGAGACUGAUGAAAACCUAGUAUGUCUUAUUUAAAUGUUUAAGUUUUUUAUUUCUUAAUCCUUACCCAAGGAUAUGUUUUUGUUGAUUCUUUUUUUUUUUCUUUUUCUUUUUUUAGAGAGAGAUGGGUAGGGAGAGAGAAAGAGAGCUAGAGAAACAUUGAUGUUAAGAGAGAAGCAUCAAUUAUUUGCCUCCCAUACUUUCCCCAACCAGGGAUCAAACCCAAAACCUAGGCAUAUGCCCUGACUGGGAAUCGUAUCUGCAACCUUUCGGCGUAUGGAACAAUGCUCCAAUCAACUGAGCAACACCAGCCAGGGCAAACCUAGUAUUUUUUUAAGGCAGUUAUGACAGGAAAUAUAGUAUUUAGAGCUAUAUCAGUAAAAAUGAGGAAAGCUGAAAUUUAAGCUACCAAGUCUUUAAAACUGGAGGAAAAAGGCAAGCCAAAAGAAAGCAGAGGGAAAUAAUUAGUAAAAAGUGGGGAAGAGGGGAGAGAGAAUAAGACAAAACACCAGCUAACCUACUUAAGGAAAAAAGGGAGGAAACAAAAAUUUAAAUGACAUAGAAAUAACCAUAAAUCAGGGAAAUUUUCAAAAUUAUAAGACCACUUUGAAUAAUUUCAUAUAAUAAAUUAGAAAAAUAACUUUUAGAAAAAUGCAAAUUGCCAAAAUUUACUUUAGUAAGACAUAAAAAUUCAGAACCAACUAUUACCAUAGAAGAAACAUAGUUAAAGGACUCCUUACAAAAAAAGCAUCAGGCACAGAUUGUUUCAAGAUUACUACCAAAUCUGUAAGAGUAAAUAGUCUUGAUGUUUAAAGAAUCCCAGAGACUAGAAAAAGAAUGUUGAACCUCAAAGUGUCAAAAAAAGAGAGAAAGAUUUCCAAAUUCAUUUUAUGAAGUGAAUGUAAUAGCAUGGUCUCUAAAACCUGACAGAAAAUUACAGACUCUCAGGAAUAUCAUUGCAAACAUUUUAACUAUAUUAGCAAAUAAUCCACUAGCACUUUCAAAAAGUAAUAAAUCAUGACUAAGUUGAGUUUAUUAUAGGAAUGCAAGGAAAAUUCAAUAUUAGACAAUCCACUAAUAUAUUAAAAGAGUUAAUGAGAAUAAUCAUGUGAUUAUCUCCAUCUUUGCAGCAAAGGUAUAACAAUGGAGCACUCAUUCAUGUUAAAUAUACUCAAGUAGAAACUGAUGGUAAUUGAUUAACAUUGUACCUCUGCCCAAAAACAGCAUCUUAAUAUUGAAACAAAAGAGGCUUUCCAACUACAGUCAGGAACAAAGCCCACUAUCUCCUCUACUACUAAACAUUGUGUUGGGGUUUUAGCUAAUGAAGCUUGGGAAGGAAGAGGUGAAACUAUUUGCAAAUAGGAUUUUCUAUCUGGGAAACCCAAGGAAUUUGUAGAAACACUGUGAGAACUUAGUAAAGUAGCAGUUUAUUAACAGAAAUAUCAGUAGCCUUCACAAGACAAAAAAGAGUGCAUACUCUGAUUCCAUUUAAAUGAAGUUCAAAAUAAGAAAAACUUACGUGUGGUGUCAGAAAUCAGCGCCCACUUGCAGGCACUCCCUCCCCAAAGGUAAGCACUAUCCUGACGUCAUCGCCAGUUAGUUUUAUCUGGUUUUGAUAUAAAAGGAGUCAUAAUGGAUACAUUUUUUUUCAACCGUCCUCUUUAGCUCAACAAGGACUGGAAGGGUACAGGAAGCUUCUGUGGUGCUGGUAAUACUCCAUUUUAUGAUCCAGGUGCUGGUUCUGAGGUGCAUUCACUUCAUGAAUAUGAAACUGUCCACUUAAUGAUUUAUGCACUUUUCUGUAUGUAUAAUCACAGUUCAAUAAAAAUGUUUACUAAGAAGAAAGAAUAAAAGAAUACACACACACACACACACACACACACACAAACCUUAACUAGUUAGGAAAUAGACUUAUAGAGAAUUUCCCUUUUAUGAUUUCAAAAAAGAGAUGUGUAUACUUAAGACAUGUCCAAAACCUAUGAAGAAAGCAUAAAAAUAAAACACGUGAAAGACAAAAAAGUCUUGAACAAAAUGAAAAGAUUAUACCAUAUUUUUAGGUAAGACUCAACAUCAAAACAUGUUUUUCCCUUAGGUUAAUUUAUAAAUUUAAGCUAUCCCAAUAAAAAUUAUCAUGGUUUUGUUUUGUUUUGCGUUUUUAGAGAACACAGGAGAGUAAUUAUGAAACUGGAAAGAAAAAAAAUAGAGGGAACUAGCCCUACCAGACAUUAAAACAUACUCUUAAAUCCUCCCACUACCACAUAUAUACAUAACCAAAUACACACAUAUAAGUAUAGAUAUGACUAUGAGAUGUGCUAUAUAUUCUGUACUAUAUAACAUUUUUCAUUCAACAAUAUAUUAUGAAUGCCUUUCACUAUCCAUACUUUGGUUUAAACAGUUGCAUAGUAUCUCAUUGCAUAAAUGUACCAAUUGGUGCUUUGUUUUACACAAUUACAAAAAAUAUUGCUAUAAGAUCUUUGAAAAUGUUUCGCUGCCUACUUAUGUAAUUCUUUAAGUUAAAUAGCUGUGGAGUUGCUGGGGCAAAGAAUACACAUAUUAUAAAUUUUGAUAGCUUUUGCCACACUGCUUUCUAAGGUUGUACUGGUACACAGUACUUUGAUACAGAUUUUAAAUGUGAUCAGAAAGUAGUCUUAAAAUUCACUGGAAGAAAUAUGAGCUUAGGCUCAAAGCCAACUUCCCUCAUUUAAUCCUAGAUGAGCAAGUCAGGGAGUUUGGUAGAGCUAUAUAAAGUCUCUAAGGAGUGAAGGAAAAUAAUUUGAUAAUGUGUACAUAAGUAGCUUGCUCUAGAAUGUUAAUGGAUUUUCACCUUGCCAUCUGAAUUUCAGUAAUUGAGUACCAUAGAACUCUGUGCUAAGAACGUUUUUUUCUGCUGUAGGACGUACUGUAGAAAAUUAUUCAGUGGUUAAAUUAUAGAAACACGCAUAUAAGAAUAAUUGUUCAGGCAAUACCUUUUCUUUUAUAACUGAUACUUAUUUUAAAAUAUUUCUCAUCUUAAAGUUAUUUAGAACUCACAAAAUGUUGCUGUGAAGAUCAUAUAUUUUUCUGUGGCUCUCCUAGAAAGAAAUUUCUGGAUUAAAUAAUGUAUACUUUAAAAGUAUUGGUAAUAACUGUUAAGUUGCCAUCCAAAACCAGUAUAGCUUUUCAGAAACUCGUCAACAGGGUUUCUUUUUUUAAAAUAUGUUUUUAAUGAUCUCAGAGAGAGGAAGGGAGAGGGAGAGAGAGAGAGAAAAAUCAAUGAUGAAAGAGAAUCAUUGAUCUGCCUCCUGCAGGAUCCCUGCUGGGGAUCCAUCCCACAACCCAUGCCCUGACUGGGAAUCAAACUGUGAUCUGGUUCCUGGGUAUAUGCUCAACCAUUGAGCUACACCUGCUGGGCCAACAGGGUAUUAGAGUACCUGUUUCCUCAUCACUGGAUGUUAUCAAUCUUAAAAUUGUUCCCUUCUGCAUGAAAAGAAGAAAAGUAUUCAUUUGUUGAUAAGAUUUGUGGAAAACAAAUCUUGUGGGGGAAGUUUGUUUUUUAUAUAUUAUAUGAAUGAACUAGAGGCCCGAUGCACGAAAUGUGUGCAAGAGUAGGCCUUCCCCUGGCUGCCGGCACUGGCUUCCCUCGCAGCCCCGGCUUCGUCCAGAAGGACAUCUGGUGUAAUUAGCAUAUUAUACUUUUAUUAUUACAGAUACUAAUUGGGCUAUGUCUGAGAUAGUGAAAUCAAAAUAAUGUCUUUUUUUAAAAUAUAUUUUUAUUGAUUUCAGAGAGGAAGGGAGAGAGAGAGAGAGAGAGAGAGAAACAUCAGUGAUGAGAGAAACAUUGAUCUGCUGCCUCCUGCACAACCCACACUGGGGAUCGAGCUGGCAAGUGGGGCAUGUGCCCUGACCUGGAAUGGAACCGUGACCUCCUGGUUCGUAGGUCAAUGCUCAAGCACUGAGCCAUGCCAGACAAAAUAAUGUCUUUAUUAAUAUAGGACUUAGCACAAUAGUUUUCAAAGUCUGGUCUGCAGACAGGAGCUGUGGCAUCACCUGGGAACUUUUAGAAAUGCAAACUAUCAGGUCUCACCUGAGGCUUACUGAAUGAGAGACUCUGGGGGAGGGGUCAGCUAUCGGUGUUUUAUCCAGCCCUCCAGUGGCUCUGGUGCACACUCAAACCCCAAGGACCAAUCACUGAUUUAGAAAAAGCAGCUUGGGAGGAGAAACAAGAGAGAACCCCAUAAAUUUUAAAUGGAGGUGUUAGUUAGCAGUAAGCUCAGUAUGAUUCAACAAUGUGUCUUUACUUCUGCCCGAAAUAGCUAAUAUGAUAUCAGUCUAUGGGUUGAAAACGUAAUAAAUGCUCACAUAUGCAAAGAGGAUAUUACAUUUAUUUUCUCAAAUGGACCCAAUCUUUAUUUGCCUGUAUUUUUACAAUGGCAGGGCUGGGAACAGCGCCAUUUACAUUGGUCAACUAACAAUUUCAGUCUUUUAAUAUCAGUAUUUUGUUUUGUUUUUUCCUCCUGCUCAUUGUGUUCUGGCUUUGGUGGAGGCCUCUGUUGCAGGUUACUGCUCUAGUUUGAUUCCAGGGCUGGUGCCUAUGGAGGUGUCUGCUGCUGGUCUAGUGGGGCCUUUUGAGGUGGGUUGCCUACCGUUUGCCUCUGAUUGCACAGUCCCAGCACUAUAGCCUCUUUGCCCUGAUGUCAGGGCUCCACCAAUCUACCUGAUCUUAGCAACUCCAUAUCUACACCCCUCAGCCCCCUAUACCCACACACAUCUUUGGCAUAUACAGAAACUCCUAGAUAUUAAUGCCUGAAGCACUGUCUCCAUUUCAUAUACCUAGGUACUUCCCCUCACUCCAAUGCUGCUGAGCCUCCCUGGAUGUAGAAGACAAGCUGACACUCCCAGGACUGCCGCCCCUGCUAAGCAAUGCCUGGAGAAGCAGGUCACAGGGCCAUUGCACAUACCACAUGUCUACAUAUGUGAGAGUUACAAGUCAAACUAGAAAAUAAUGUUCUCUCAUCACAGGCUGGCAAAUAUAUCAAAUAGCAGAUCAUGCCAAAUCAUUGUGAAUAGCACAAACCCAUAGUUAACUUCAUGUUCCACCCCAGGCCAUGAUUUGGCAGUGGCUGUUACUGGGCAAGAGUGAAGUGGACAAAGGGAAAAGAUUUCCUGCUGGCUUGCCAUUCUGGCUCCCUGCAAUCAUUGGGAAUAUCCACAGAAUAAACAUCCACUUUCUCUUGGAGGGAGAGAGGGAGAAGAUGGUCCUUUCAUCCCCUCUUGAUCUCUCUUUACUUACCUGUACCCUCUCCAUCUGAUCACAAGAUUUCUCUUUAUCCACACAGUCUGAGUCAGGUGAUCUUUGCUCACAACACAUGCCCAGCCUCCAUGUCCAACAUCACUCAAGCACCUUACAGGAGCCUGAGGUUUAAAGGCCAGGUUCAAAUUUAGAAAUCUUGGCCUCCUUAGAGUUCCCAGCCCAAGGCCAGUCCUCUUUUUCCCACCCUAGGCACUGUCACACACCGUGAGGAACUCCCUCAUGCUUGUGACAAGCUCUGUAUCACCUCUAACUCCCACAAACAGCUGUUUGGUCAUCACACCUUGUACCUAGGAGUGUACACCAUGGCAGCACAGUCCAAAAGGAGCCAGGGGAGAGCCCAUGCAGGCUCUGGAAGUGGGUUCAGUACAAGAAGAAUUUCAGACUAGAUACCCCAGGAGGAAAGUGAUUGUCACUAUCCAAACAAGUGCCUCAAGUAUCAUCAUACUUUUAAACCAUUGAUACAACUCUGUUAAACAGGACACAAGAGGUACUGUGGACAGGAAGGUGUCCCUGUCACACCCAACCCCUCAUUCCCUAGUCCUCUGCAGGAGCAACAAGUGUGGGCAGUUUGUUUUCUAGAAAUGGACCUGUAGAUACAACUAUAUAUGUGUGAAUAUGUUUAUAAUCAUAUACUUACAUAUAAUAGUGACCCAAAUACCAACUGACUCAGCAGAAAUUCAAAUUUUCAUUCAUUUGGCAUAGCCUGGCAUUUUUCUAUUCCAGAUAUCUAGUACCAGUUAUUAGGAAAAAUGGCCAACUUAAUAAUCUUUGUUAUAUUUGAGAAAGGGCUAAGGAAUCCUAUAUAAUAAAGAGUUUAUAUGCUAAUUAGACCAGACAGUGGAAUGACCUUCUGGAACAACCUUCUGGAACAACCUGGGGGCGGGGGGGGGGGGGGGGGCGGGACUGCAGGGCUGAGAGGCAGCCAGGGCGAGGGCCAAGCCCCUUGCAUGAAUUUCGUGCAUCAGGCCUCUAGUGACUUAAUAAAAUAAUUUUUAAAACCACAAAAAUAAUUAACAAUAACUGGAAGGUCACAGAACAAUAUUCUUGUUUUUUAAUUCCACCACUCCUCAGUUGCCACUGCGUUGCAAGUCUCAUGGGGACCAUUAGAGUUUACAAGAAAGACAGCAAAGACAACAUGCCUGGGGAAGAAAGGAGGGGAAGGUGCAGGUGAACUCAAGAGAGAGAACAUGCACGGGUCCUUUAUCUUAAGGGUUUGAUCUGUUUUCCAAAAGUGGGAAUUUUAUGGGAGGUCUCAGGAAUAUCUCAAUAGCAUAUUCAUCAGCUUUCCCAGUGUGUCCUUUAAUGUGCUGUUUCAUCAAAAUGAGCAUAUAGCGGGGUUAGGGUCAUUCUCUGGUAAGUUUCAUCUUCAAAGAAUGUCAUCAAAGAGGGACUGGGACCAAGGUGAGUCUGUCCCUAUAGGGUCCGGAAUGUAUAAACCAUUUGCUCCUAAGUAUCCCUUGGUUAGGGAAGAUAUGACCUUGCAAUUUAUUACCUGUCUAGAAAUUGCUCUGCUGACUUAUUAUCUGGCUGUAAAUUGCUUGGCUGUUUAACUAUUUGUCUCAGUUUCCCUAUUCCACUCACCAAGGAACUUUCCUAGCUUCUUAUUAUCCUGCCUCAGUACUGGGAAAGGUAAACAAACAGGGCUCCCCACCUAGCUAAGUCCCCAUUCUGAUGACCUCUAGCAAGCCAUUCCCUAAAUCAGAUCCCCUUGCUGUGUGACACAGGAAUCAUACAAUGUGGCGCCUGGAUCAGUAGAAGUAGUAACAACUGACGUGUUCCUAUCUCUAAAAUGCCCAAAGCUCUUCAGAAGAGAGGAGAGGCUGUUUGGUUUAGAGUUUGUAUAACUGAGAGGACAUAUAUCAGACAGCCCAGUAGAAUCUCACAAAUAUGAUAGGACUGGCUACAUUGCCCAUGUUUUUUUUUAAUAAACUUUUUAUACAGGUUUUAGAUUUACAGAAUAAUUGCAAAGAUAGGACAGAGAAUUCCCAAAUACUCAGCAUCCAAUUUCCCCUAUGACUAACAUCUUGCAUGAGUACUGUACAUUUGCUACAAUUAACUAAUAUUAAUGCAGUAUUAACUAUAUUCAGAUUUCCUUAGGUUUUACCUGGUGUCCUAUUUCUGUUCCCAGAUCCCAUCCAGGGACCACAUCACAUUCAGUCAUCAUGUCUCCUCUUGGCUGUGACAGUCUCUCCGACUUUUCUUCUUGAUGACUGCCAGUUGUGAGGCGUACUGGCCAGGUGUCUUGUAGAACAUCUCUCAAAUGGGUUUAAACCUGGAAUCAUGUUCAGAGGGCGGUUCGCCAGGGCUCAGUAGGCCACACUGUCUAGGGCCAUGAAAUGGAAGCGCGCCAACUGGCCCUUACUGGAACAGUGAACUUGGACCCUGGCCACUCAGCCAGCCAGCUAUUGACCUGCCAACACAAACAAACUUCAACAUUCACCUUCAUUUUAGAACUCUGGCAUUAUAGUAUAGAUGGUGCAAGUGAAGAAGAAUAAUAACAGAGGAUUCAUGGAGCCCUCAGUGUGCUGGUGACAAUUCUAAGCUCUUUACAGAUAAACCAAAUUUGGUGUAUUGAAAAAAGAAACUGGAAACUUUUGGAAUCAUAAGAUAAGAAUAUUUCAACUAUGUACACAUUACACAUAGAAAAACAUAUUAUGAAUCUUUACAUAUAAGGAUACUAAAAGGUAAGUACUGACAAUUUUCCUUUUUAAGAGUAAACAAUAUAUUGUGACAUGCCUUUGUGACAUACAGUGCUCUCCCCUAGAGCUGAUACAACUCUAAAAUAGAUAUAUUUGCAGAAAAUAUUCUUCUCAUUUAUAUUAAUGUAGCCAUAUUGCUUCUCUAAGGAAACAUUUAUAAACAUUGCUACUGUGUUCCAGAAAUGUUUUAAGAAGAAAAUCAUUGUAUAUGAAUCCUCUACAAUGGAAAAUAAUAUAAUAACAUUUCCCCUGAUAGAAUUCAAAAUUGUGCAUGUCACAGUAAACGAAGUGAUAUGAGUUCUGCAUCAGAGCCUAAGGCUAUGGCUGGGGGUCAUGAUUUAUUUUCAGUUUGUUAUUAGUACUGAUUGCCUUCUGACACUAGACAAGCUAUUCAAACUAUUGAAUUCUUUAUUUCUUUAUUUAUUGCUUGCCAGAGUACACAGCCAGCAUUGGCUGUGGCAGGAAACUCAGAGUUCCCAGAAGCUUUGGUACACCAGUUGGAGCCCUGGCUAAACGUGUGUGUAUUGGGGAAAAGGGCCACAAACGUCAUUUGAGUCCUUCCAAUAACAGAAAACACAGAACCUCCCAUUUCAAUUAUGGAUUCACAUAAGAAGCAAAUGAAGGAAUGCAGAGUCAACAGGGAGAAAGGGAAGCAGCAAGAAUAGUGAGACUGUGAAGCAGGGUUCUGUGCAAAGAGAGUAAAGAUAAAGAUGGCAGUUACAAAAAGCUGAAAAUAGUUAAUAGGUAAAAUUCCCAACAUGCUUUUCCCAUUGUGCCGUUGAUAUUAUUUAGAAUAAGAUGAUUUGAAAAUUUUAAACAUGCACCAUAGCUUUAUUUUAUGCCUUGGCUGGCUAGUUUGUAGUUCGGGGACAGGUGGUAAUAUUCCUCCCUCUUGGCCAAAAGCUUGUCCUUCCUGCUCCUCAAAGUCAGUGUUAUUUUUAUAGUAUGAUGCUUAUAGAAUUCCUUUCUUGGCAUUUUUUUCUACUCUGAAAAUUUUUUUCUAGAUACUUCUCUCCUUUAUAAUAGAACAACAGUGCUAAGUCCUUGCAAAUACUUAAUAAAUCAGUAGCCUAUAUUGGUGUUAACAUUCUUAAUUUAAAUUCAUGGAGAUUUGAGCUGUGUUGUUUGUUGAGGAACACUGACAUAAUAAGAAAGAGAUAGUAAAAGUAUGUCUUGGUGGCAAAAUAGAACAAUAGACACACUUUAUCAUUUUUGCCAGAGCCCAUCAUCUUGUUUGAUAAUCACAUAGCAGCCAAUCUUCCACUAAGUACUACCUCUUUCAUACCCUAUUCUCACUCACUGCUGUGAAAAACCAUACUAAAUCUAACUCUGAGAUCCUGUAAAUUCUCUUUCCUCCUCAUAUCUUCCCUCCCCCAACUCUCACUUAUCAAACAACCUUCUACAAUAAAUAAGGAACAGCAGAAAGAUGGCUCUUAGAGUAAGCCCAUUUAUUUUAUUACCAGCACUAAUAAGUAACUCCCUUCAUCUCUGGCUUAAAACAUCUCAAAGCAACAAUGCAUUCAAAAUCCUUCAGGAUGGUAAAACACAUGGAUACUUAGCUAUAAAGUAGGAAGAAUGAUACAAAGACAAUGACUAAAGUACUGAGGGGAGGUUCUUCAGCCUCAGAAUGAGCAAACUUUUGUGGCAGAAACACAGCCAGGCUUGAUGAGAGAAGCAGAGUAUGUGGUUGAAUUAUUUAUAACGAUGCUGCAGCUGUAUUGAUCAGAGGGAGUUUCUCUCUUAACCCUACCUUCCCCGAACCUUAAAGAAUUAUGUCCUCCCUCAAAGAAUGAUGCCCCAAAGUGAAAGGGUGUGGGGUGGGUUACUGGUGAGGAUCUUAGUUAAGAAAAGACUGGUUAUCCAAUAUAGUUCUGCCAUAUCUAAUGACAAGCAAACUGAUGAUCUCUUUGCAUAUCUCAUUUCCUAGGAAAGAAAUGGUAUAUCAUUUCACAGUAUGCCCUGCAGGAAAAAGAUUCUGCCCUCCCUACCGGCAUCAUAUUACCUCAGCAUCAAAAAACCUAAUACAAAAUUGAAGCUUUCAAAGCAUAGCAUGGUAUUAAAAGAGCAUUUAUAUUUUUGGAAUCUUGUGUACUGUUGAGUCUGCACUGCCAGAACACUACCAGGCCCAUAGUAGGUGGUCAGUCAUAUUGAAUAAAUGAAUGAAUGUUCUUAGCAUAUUUGGAUUCACUGAAUGGGUUUGGGAUUCAGCCACUAAAGGCCAUGUGCUCAGCAGUGUGUUAGGGGGGUGCUGGCUUCUAUGCUAGCCUAAAUUGGCCAUUCUAGCUUCCUCCUGGGUAGAGUCUUGCUUGCUAGGGAAAUAACAUGUACUGGGGACUAAGGAUUAAUUUAGAAUAUAUGCACACAGUUCCAACUUUGCCAUUGGGAAACUCUAAGACAAGAAUCUAUUCUUUGCCCUUAAAUAAGCCCAAAGCAGUUUGCCACCCUCUUUAGGCCAAAGAUUGUGUGUGAUAAGCUUCUGAAGAAAACAAACUGUUAGAAGAUACAGUGUCCUUUUCACCUCAGGAGAGAGGGGACUUGAAAAGAAAAUGCUGCUUAAUGCUACUAAGAUCACCAGCACUUCACUUGAAAAAAAAAACAAAAUCCUAUUCUGAUGUGGAGGAGAAAAACAGUAUUGGUGGCAUACCAAGCUGGUUCAUUCCAAGAAGAAAUUCUAGGCAUUUGUUCCAAAUGAGUGUUGAAAAACCAUCUAGGACAGGUAUAAUGUGACAUAUCUACAUUACAGACAAAUUUGGCUAGUGUGCCACCUUUUUUCCUAAUAGUUAACAUUUUAUGGAAUUCAACCAGAAAAACCACAUUAUUAGAAAAGGAGGAGACAUUAGGUAGAUCUGGCUCAUUUUAUUUGGUUUUUUUGUUUGGUUUGGUUGGCUUGGUGAUAUUUCAACAGAUCAGAGAGCACUAGAAAUAGUCAGGUUCCAACAGGAGCCUAAAAAUGGCAUCAGUCUUGGAUUUGGAAUAAGAAGGGAGCUGGAGCCCCUGCAAAGGUUCCUAUUCCUCUAUCCCAAAUUUCUAGAUAUGACAGAUCAUAUGCUUUUUGCUUUUCUUUUCUUUCUUUUUUAAUAGCAGUAUUUUAAUAAAGAAAUAGAUACUGUGUGAGCCAAAAAGCAUUAUAAGGAAUCCUGAAAUAUGCAAAGCAGAUGGAAUAAUGUUAACAGAGAUAAGCUACUACUACCAUGGGAACAACUUCCAAUGUGCUACAGACUCAGAAAGGGCAGAUUCAGGGAACAGGAAGAGCCCUAGGCCACCAGGAAGUACUGAGAUGGGACAAAUGUAGGCAGUAGAGCAAAAAUGCUGAAGAACUUGUUAUUACAUCACACUCAGUAAUGUAUUUAUAGAAUUAUGUCAUAACCGAGCAGGAUUUAUGCCAGAGAUGUUCAAAAUUGGAAAAAAAUAUUAAUGUCAUUUGCUCUAUUACUAAAUUAAAUAUGAAAACUAUUAGAAAUAAUAAUAAAAAAUCCAACAAGGCAACCAGAAACAAGAUCAACAGACAAAAACUAUAGCAUUCAAACUUACUAGCAAUAUACACGUGAAGGAUAUUACUAUAGACUAAGUGUGUCUCCUCAAAAAUUCAUGUUUGUGAAGACAUGACCCCUAUGACAUGUAUUUUGAAUCCUAACCACAGUGGUAUCAGAAAGUGGGUGGGCCUUUGAGAGGUCAUUAGGUCAUGACAGUGGAGCCCUCAAGAAUGAGAUUAGUGCACCUAUAAGGAGACCCUGGAGAGCUCUCUCACCUCUCAUGCUGUGUGAGGAAACAGUGGGAAGACACAGCCACUUGCUUGUGUCUAGGUGUGAACCUCUUUGUAUUUAACUUUCUAUGGGUUUAUUGAGUUCUUGGAUCUGUAGAUUAAUGUUUUCCAUCAAAUUUGGGAAGUUUUAGUCAUUAUUUCUCCAAAUAUUUUUUUCCGUGCCUUCCUUUGUUUCUCCUCUUUCUCAACACACACACACACAGACACACACACACACACACACACACACAUUUUGUAUUCUUAUAUGGAGUCCAAAAUAUAGAUACAACAUAAAUUAUUCAAGCAUUUCUUAAUUAGUGGAAAUUAAAUUGCUUCCAAUUUUUUACCAUUAUAAACAAUGUUACAAUUAACAUUAUUUAUAUAUAUCUCCUUGAAGGAUGCUUCUUCCAACAGAUACUGAAAAGUGAAAUUGCUGUGUCAUUUAACAUUUUAGACACUGUUGCCAAAUUGCCCUCCAAAAUAGCUAUAUCAAUACUCAAAACCAAAAGUUCUUAAAGCUAUACACAUUUCCUCACACUCUUAAAAAUUUAUAUUAUCACCCUAGCCAGUUUGGCUCAGUGGAUAGAGCCUUUGUCUGCAGACUGAAGAGUCCAGGGUUUGAUUCUGAUCAAGGGUAGGUAUCUCCUUUGCAGGCUAGGUCACGUGUGGGAGGCAACCAAUCAACAUCGAUGUUUCUCUGUUUCUCCCCUCCUUUCCACUCUCUCUAAAAAUCAAUGGAAAAAAUAUUCUUGGGUGAGGAUUAACAACAUCAAAAUUUGUACUAUCGAUUUUUUUAAUUGCUGAUAACCUGAUGAAUGAAUAAUGGGGUCUCAUUGUUUUCACUUCUGUUUCCUUUGUUACUAUUAUGGUUGCGCAUUGUUUCAUGCUUAUUGGUCAUUUGUUUUCCCCCAUUUUCAAAUAUUUUGUUUUUAUCCCUUAUCCAUUUUUCUAUUAGGUGUUUUUUUCUUAUUGAUUUAUAAGAAGUUCUUUAUAUAUCCUUAAAUGUAUUCUUUAUCUGUUGUAUAUGUUGCAAAUGCUUUUUCCCAGUCUCAUUUCUUUUAACAUUGGUAUCUUUGAUGUACAGAAGUUUUCUCAUCACCAUUUGACCUAUGCUCUCAUCACUAAUUGGAAAUGUCACUGUUAUUAUUUAGUAGGUGAAUAUAAAUCAUGUAAAUUCUAAUCAUGAUUUUUUUUUCUAGAUUUUCUGUUUUAUUGAUUUAUUUGUUCAUUCUUAUACCAAUUUUUCUAAUUAUUAUGGCUUCAUUUUUCUAUUUGCUAGAACAUUGUUCUUUUAUAAAUUGCCUUGGGCAUUUGUGUGCAUUCCUCUUUUGAAUUAAUUUUAUUUAUUUAUUUAUUUUUAAAUGAAUUUAUUGGGGUGACAUUGGUUCACAAAACUAUACAGGUUUCAAUUGUACAACUCAACAAAACAUCAUCUGCACACUGCAUCAUGCGUUCAUCAUCCCAACCAAGUCUCUUUCUGUUCCCAAGUCCCCAUUUUCCCCCCUUUGCCCAUAUCCACCUACCCCCUAACUCUCUUUCCCUCUGGCUAUCACCCCACUGUGUCCAUGUGUUAUAAAUAUGCUAGAGGCCUGGUGCAUGGAUUCAUGCACUGGUGGGGUCCCUUAGCCUGGCCUGUGGGGAUCGGGCCAAAACUGGCUCUCUGACAUCCCCUGAGGGUUCCCAGAUUGUGAGAGGGCCCAGGGGAGGAACCGUAGGAGAGCUCCAGAGCAUGUCCUGCAUGUCUUACCCAGUCCCAAUAGGCCAGACCCCAGCAGCAAGCUAACCUACCAGUCAGAGCAUCUGCCCCUGGUCUAAUGGUCGAAUGAACAGUCAGACACUUAGCAUAUUAGGCUUUUAUUAUAUAGAAUAUAUGGUGUUUUAUUUUUGCGUAAUCCCUUCACUUGAAUGUUUUAUUGCAAUUGUUUUGGAUUUACAGAUUAAUUAAGAGACUGAAGAAAUUCAUUGUUAACAGAUUGUCUUACAAGAGAUACUGAAGGAUAUCUUCAGAAUGAGAGGAAAUGACUAUAGAUAAUUAGAGAUGAUGAGCACCAGAAAUUAUAAAUUUAUGAGUAAAUAAAUACUAUACAUAUAUUUUUCUCUUAAUUUCUUUAAAAACAUGCAUUUUGCUAGAUUGUGUAAAGCAAUAAUUAUAAGACUAUAUUGUUGCAUUUAUAACAUAUGUAGAAGUAAUAUGCAUGACAAUGAGGGAGGAGAACUGGGACUACUACAUUUUGGCAGAAUUAAGUCAGUAUAAAUCUAAAGUAGAUUGGGAUCAGUUAAGAGUUAUAUUU